rnacentral:rRNA from 1 species
UACGUAGGGUGCAAGCGUUGUCCGGAAUUAUUGGGCGUAAAGAGCUCGUAGGCGGCUUGUCGCGUCGGCUGUGAAAACCUGGGGCUCAACCCCGGGCCUGCAGCCGAUACGGGCAAGCUAGAAUUCGGUAGGGGAGACCGGAAUUCCUGGUGUAGCGGUGAAAUGCGCAGAUAUCAGGAGGAACACCGGUGGCGAAGGCGGGUCUCUGGGCCGAUAUUGACGCUGAGGAGCGAAAGCGUGGGGAGCGAACAGG